rnacentral:rRNA from 1 species
AGCGAACGCUGGCGGCAGGCCUAACACAUGCAAGUCGAACGAACUCUUCGGAGUUAGUGGCGGACGGGUGAGUAACACGUGGGAACGUGCCUUUUGGUUCGGAAUAACUCAGGGAAACUUGUGCUAAUACCGAAUGUGCCCUUCGGGGGAAAGAUUUAUCGCCAUUAGGGCGGCCCGCGUCUGAUUAGCUAGUUGGUGAGGUAACGGCUCACCAAGGCGACGAUCCGUAGCUGGUCUGAGAGGAUGACCAGCCACACUGGGACUGAGACACGGCCCAGACUCCUACGGGAGGCAGCAGUGGGGAAUCUUGCGCAAUGGGCGAAAGCCUGACGCAGCCAUGCCGCGUGAAUGAUGAAGGUCUUAGGAUUGUAAAAUUCUUUCACCGGGGACGAUAAUGACGGUACCCGGAGAAGAAGCCCCGGCUAACUUCGUG